UACAGAGGGUGCGAGCGUUAAUCGGAAUUACUGGGCGUAAAGCGUGCGUAGACGGUAAUGUAAGUCGGGUGUGAAAUCCCCGGGCUUAACCUGGGAAUUGCGUUGGAGACUGCAAGGCUGGAGUCUGGCAGAGGGGGGUAGAAUUCCACGUGUAGCAGGGAAAUGCGUAGAGAUGUGGAGGAACACCGAUGGCGAAGGCAGCCCCCUGGGUCAAGACUGACGCUCAUGCACGAAAGCGUGGGGAGCAAACAGG
rnacentral:rRNA from 1 species